rnacentral:rRNA from 1 species
ACGGGAGGCAGCAGUGGGGAAUAUUGGACAAUGGGGGAAACCCUGAUCUAGCGACGCCGCGUGAGUGAAGAAGUAUUUCGGUAUGUAAAGCUCUAUCAGCAGGAAAGAAAAUGACGGUACCUGACUAAGAAGCCCCGGCUAACUACGUGCCAGCAGCCGCGGUAAUACGUAGGGGGCUAGCGUUAUCCGGAUUUACUGGGUGUAAAGGGAGCGUAGACGGUUUUGCAAGUCUGAAGUGAAAGCCCGGGGCCCAACCCCGGAACUGCUUUGGAAACUGUAGAACUGGAGUGCAGGAGAGGUAAGUGGAAUUCCUAGUGUAGCGGUGAAAUGCGUAGAUAUUAGGAGGAACACCAGUGGCGAAGGCGGCUUACUGGACUGUAACUGACGUUGAGGCUCGAAGGCGUGGGGAGCAAACAGGAUUAGAUACCCUGGUA